rnacentral:lncRNA from 1 species
AACUUCAGCAAAAGCCAAGGCAGCCAACAAAGCCACAGCCACCUUGGCUGUGCUUGGACUCUGCCUUUUGGGCAGCUCACCAGCCACUCCCCAGAAGCAGAGCAUUCUGUCCUUUCUUUUUAAAUCCACGUCAUCAUUUGAUCAUAAUGGAAAUCAAUCUCCUCAAGUCACCACGCAAAGGCGUAUCCAUAGCAACCACAAGAGGAAGGACACAGAAAUGAUGCUCCAGUGGCUGCAGCAGAAAAAGGUAAGCCUGUUUCUCUUCCAUUCAUGCUAUCCCACCAUUCUCCCCCUUCACUCAAGCGCAUCUUACCUGCAAAUUCUAUCACACUAAAGGGGAUAACAUAAAAGGCGAGUGUUAAUAAUCUAUGCUAUUAUGUAAGGUUAUAUAGGUCUGUAUACUCCCAUAUGUGGCAGAAAAAAAAUUCUCUUUUUCUGGUUGAUGGAGACAAUUCUCUUUUACAUAUUCACUGUCUCAGGUGACAGAAUCUCUGCCUGCAAUACCUGUCAAAUCACUAUCAGUUACUUGUCUUUCUAGUCAGGAUGCUACUCUCAUUCAAGGAUUUCAGAGUUUCCUACCUAUUUGUAAAAGGCCAGUGGCAACACCGACCCCACUUCCCUGCCCACCCAUGCCACAGUCGUGCUCACACACUGGCCAGGUAAGACUUGCUCUUAGCAGCCCGAGACUCUAGCCCCUCUAGGUCCAGAAAACUGGGGGCUGGGAUUAAAUUUCUGCCUUCUCUGGUGCCUAAGAGGAAGGAAUGCCAUUUCAGCAGAGGUAAGAGACUCAUCAAAUAUAAACACUACUAAGCCUAAGUAAUCCUCCAUGCCUUGAUUUCCCCUCGUGUAAAAUAGAGACAACAAUACCUUUCUAACAAAGUUGUGAAAAUUACACGAGGAUGCCUUUAAAGCAUUUAGAAGAGCACCUGGUAUGGAGCAUCAAUAAACAUCAGUCAUUAUUAUUAUUAUUAUUAUGAGAAAGAGGAAGGAGAGGCCUACAAUGCAAGAUUCAAGUUCAGAUUCUCUUGAAGAGAAUAUCAGGUCUACUCUCUUUCCCUGCCUCUGGACAGUUAUUUCAAGCUUCCCUUACUAAUUUCAAGUCCUAUUCCUAUUUGAGCCCACACCAGCACCCACUCUCCUCAGCAGAUAAUUCUGCUGAAAAAGAAAACUGAACCUGUUAGAUAAGAAUUCCUUUGCAAAUUUAGAUACAUCUGCAACCAUCAUUGCCUCUUUCUUCCUACAUUCUUUCUUCUGUCGUUCCUCUUUCAAAGAAAAUGAUGUCCCAUUCUUUUCAGAGCCAACCCUUCCACCCUCCUCUGAGGACCUGAUUUAGCAAUCAUAUUUUUUUCUCCUACCUUCAACUGCACCCUAUCUACUAGCUCUUAUACAGGAUCAGGUAACCUAUGUUCAAGACUCUUCUAGGAAAAACUGUCUCUAGUCACCGCUACCUCUUCCACGAGAUGCCACCAUCUCUCUCCCUUCCUUCCCUGCCAAACUACUCAAAGUGAGUACACCCUUCCUGUCCUCCCUUCCCAUCCACUCCUCAAUCUGGCUCAACUUGGCUCCUGUCCCUACCACUUCUCGGAAGCUGCUCACACUCCAAAAGUAGAAGAGCCUUGGUGAUCCAACAAUCCAGUCUCAAGGCACAUUUUCCAAGCUCGUCUUAACCUGACUUGCCUGUAGCAACUGAAGCUGCUGAUCUUCCUGGAACAUUUUCCUCUCCAAGCUCCCUGGACAACAUUGUCUUACCUUGCACACCAAUCCUUCUUGACUCCUGCGUCAUCUUCAGCCUCCUAUAAGCAUAGCCAGGCUCAUCCAUUCCCGCAGCAUCAACUCCCACUUACACCUACUGCCUCAGGCACAGAUUCUCUUCAGAACCUCAGACCCACACUUCCACCUGUUUGCUAAGUGCCACAGACCCAAGUUCAACAUAACUUAAAACACAGUUGGUAACUUCCCCCUCAAAAAAUAUUCUUUUUCUAUAUUCCCUUUUAAAAAAAAAAAAAAAAAGAUUUUCUUUCAUUUUUUUUUUUGAGAGACAGAGAGAGAGAGAGAGAGAGAGAAUAUGAAUGAGCAGGGACAGAGGCAGACUCUUAAGCAGGCUCCAUGCCCAGUGCAGAGCCUGAGGCAGGACUCAACACAGGGCUCUUGACUCAGGGCUCGAUCGUGAGAUCAUGACUUGAGCCAAAAUCAAGAGUCAGAUGCUUAACUGACUGAGCCACCCAGGCACCCCUAUAUUCCCUCUUUACUACUGGCACCACCACUCACCCAAAACAGAAGACCAAGUCAUCCUUAACAACUCCCUCUUUUGUUCUCAACAACCAGUUAAUCGUUAUGUUAGGUUGACUGUCUCCACGGUUUCUCUCAGAUCCAUCCCCUUACCAUCCCCACUAACCUAAUCCUUACUUCAGUCUUAAGCCAUGCCUAUGUUAUUACAAGAGUCUCCUAUUAAUGUCCCUGAUCCAGAUUCUCCCCUUUCGGUCUACUUCCUCAGUUAGCUUCCCAAAAUAGAAUCACAUCAUCUCCCUGCCCACAAAACUGAAUCUUCUGAGCACAGCACUAUAGACCAUUAAAAACCUGGCCUCAUUACAUCUAGUCUCAUCAAUAACCUCUCCUUUGAUCCCAAAGUUCGUAUAUUCCAGCUACAUGGAUCUACUUACCUUCCCCCCUUUGCCUCUAUAAAUGCUGCAAAUGUCACCAAGGCCAUUCUCUUUUCUCAUCAUUAAGGCUCAGCUCUAUUAUCAUCUCUUUCCUGAAGACUCCCAAUGUCUCCAUGUAGAGCUAGCCAUUCCCCCCUGUGCCCUCACACAGCACUUUGGACAGAUCUCUAUUACAACACCACGUUUUUAUCAAAAUAUUGUCUCUCUUAUCCCAUCAUGAAUUCCUCCAGGGAAGGGAGUUUUUAUUAAUCUCAGUAUCCUAAGCACUGAGCACAGAAGACAUUUAAUGUUAAAUACAAGCCUGUACCAACACCAGGCUCUAGGGAUAUAAGCUGGCUCUGUCAACUUUCCCAGAGUAGCUUACCCUAAAAAGACCCCCACCAUGGAGGAAAUUAACAGUCAUGCACACACGAACCCCAGCAGAUGUACUCUUUCCUCUCCAGAUAGGAGCCUAAGAAACUAAAAAUGUAGGGACAGCCCCAGGUCCUAUGGAAUUUGGCAAUGACACUAAUUCUCAAUCUCACAUGCUUCCACAGUAGGAGGACCACGGAGAGACCUCUAGGCUCUGGCGCAAGUGCAAAUCUGGGAAAACAGCUUGAGUGAGGCUCUGCGGGUGACAAAGGUCUAGUAUUUGCUUAAGAGAAACCCUCAGGGGAUAUGUAGGAGCUUCAAGAGGUCAGAAUGGACACUCAAUUUGGCCAUCAGCCAAGUGCUACUGGUACUAGCCUGAACUUCAAAAAAAAAAAAAAAAAAAUGAUAUAAAGCCAAAUCCAGAGUCUCCAGGAUGGCAAGGACCCUAAGGUAGAUUUCAAUCAGUCAACUGCUCAGCACUUACCUCCUCAGGGAUGUGGAUCCAGUUCUCAUUUCCCUUGGUAUGGGACAGACACCCAAGUCCCCACAGUACCACCAGUAGCUGUAGACAGGCCAAGCAACCUGGGAAUCCUCUACUACAAUCCCUCUCAACCCAUAACUCCAGGCAGCCACUAGCAAUGACAGAGAAGGUAGAGUAAAACAUAGAGUGGCAGUUGUCAACGGUAGUAGGAGUCUCCUGAGUCUUGAAUUCUCUGUAACAACUUCUUCUCCUUUGUAUCCUCAUGUCAGUCAGGCCCAACUUAACCAAUUCUUCCUUAGUAUUGCCUCCUGCAUCCUUCUUUUCUCCUCCAUUACCACUGUCACCACUUUGGUCACCAUUUAAUAGCUUUGAGAAUUAAGGCAAGGCAUUUUCCCCCUUUGGCGCCUCAUCUGUAAAGCAGGAUAACAGCUGCUCUGCCCACCUCACAGGACUAUUAAAUAAAAUGGGAUCAUGCCGGUGGAAGGUUCUGUAAUCUGUAAAAUCUUAUACACAAAUAUAAGGCAUUCCUCUAUCAUCAACAUAAAUCCUCUACUACUAGGAUGUGAAGUAUAUUUGGCUCCCUGCCUCUCUCCUUCUCCAUUUCCAACCACAUCAUAUAUCACAGUAACACGAUGAUGCACUCUAAAAUAUUUUGUCCACAUACUCACCUGCCCCAAAUCUUUCACUGACAUACCAUUUCUUACUUAACCAAACAAUCCUGGCUCUGACAUAUGCAGCGUCAUCUCUGCACCACUGGCAGCUGCUUAGGAUGCUUUCCCUAGUCUUGCAAGCCCCACCCAGCCUUCAAAGGCUAGCCAAAACCUCACUAGACUCCACGCAGAAAGACUAAAUUUAAAAGAGGGAUUUGAGGGGCAUCUGGGUGGCUCAGUCGGUUGAGCGUCCGACUUUGGCUCAGGUCAUGAUCUUGCAGUUUGUGAGCUCGAGCCCCGCAUCGGGCUCUGUGCUACCAAACAGCUCAGAGCCUGGAGCCUGCUUUGGAUUCUGGGUCUCCCUUUCUCUCUCUCCCCCUCCCCUACUCAUGCUCUGUCUCUCUCUGUCUCUCAAAAAUAAAUAAAUGUUAAAAAAAAAUAAUAAAAGAGGGAUUUGAAACAAUGACAUGGAAGAAUUAAGGAUAAUUCAGCAGAGAAAAUUUGGGAGGACAACCAUCAUCUAAUACUUUAAGAGUAACCUUUUUUUUUUUUUUUUUUUUCAACGUUUAUUUAUUUUUGGGACAGAGAGAGAGACAGAGCAUGAACGGGGGAGGGGCAGAGAGAGAGGGAGACACAGAAUCGGAAACAGGCUCCAGGCUCUGAGCCAUCAGCCCAGAGCCCGACGCGGGGCUCGAACUCACGGACCGCGAGAUCGUGACCUGGCUGAAGUCGGACGCUUAACCGACUGCGCCACCCAGGCGCCCCAAGAGUAACCUUUUUAAAGGGGGACUGUACACUUUUUUUCGGUUCAGUUCAAAAAAAUAACCUAGUACCAACAGGAUGGAAGUUGCAGAGAUGUAUUUCAGUAAGUUGAAAAAGUUCCUUAUUAAGCUAUCUCAGGAUGAAAUGUAGUAAAUUCCCCAUUAUUAGAAAAUGUUCAAGUCCAAACUGGCCAUUUGGGAAGGAUAUUUUAGAUGGACUUCAACUAUCACAAAGGUUACUGAACUUGAAUCACAAGCAUUUUAGAUCUGAAAGGAACCUUACUGCUCUUCUAGUCCAGCCUCCUAUUUUACAGACCUGGACAGGUGAAGGGGCUCAUUCAAGGCAGCAAAGUUUAUGUUACAAAGCAGGAAGCAGAACAUGGUCUCUAAAUUUCAAUCCAGUGAUCAACACCCUUGCUAUUGAAAGUGUGGUCCAUAGAGCAGCAGCAGCAGCAUCACCUGGGAACUUGUUAGAAAUGCAGAAACAGGGGCACCUGGGUGGCUCAGUCGGUUAAGUGUGGGACCUUCAAUCAUGACUCAGGUCAUGAUCUCAUGGUUCAGUCUGUGAGAUCCAGCCCCAAGUCAGGCUCUGUGCUGACAGUGUGGAGCCUGCUCGAGAUUCUCUCUCCCUCUCUCCUUGCUCCUCCCCUGCUUGUGCGUGCUUAAUAAUAAUAAUAAUAAUAAUAAUAAUAACAACAACAAUAAUAAUGGAAAGAAAAGAAAGAAAUGGAGAGCCCCCCAGAAUCUGUUUUUAACAAGACCUGCAAGUCUAUGAGCCAUUAAAGUUUGAAAAGCACUGACCUACACAGUCCCUUCCAAACCCUGAUUUUCUAAUUCUGGAACUGCACUUCCUAAACGAUCUCAGAUGUUAAACAGAGUCAGCACCCAAGAAAAACAGCAUUUCCCAUUCAAAUCUGGGAAAGUCUCCAUACCAUACUUUCAGUGAUCUUGUUAGCACACCGAAGGCUCUGAAAUAUUCCAGAGAAAACUGUAACCAUGAAGUUUCAAAACAUAUUUGAGCACAUAAUGCCUUAAAAGAAAAACGUUAUAGUAAUUUCCUUUAAUAUCCCAGUGGCUGAGGCUUUGGCAGUACACCGGGUAAAGAAUGUCUAUCUUGACCUCAUCGCUCUUUGACUCUCAGUACCUUAAGCAUACUGGAUUAGUAAGUGGUCAACAUGGGCUUGCUGUUCUCAUCACUGCAAUACACGAGGGGAAGCUUCUAAAUCAUGGCCUCUUUAAAAACGGCGGAGUUCCUGUGUGUGUGAUUUACCUGUAGUUCUGCCUAAAGACAAGAGGAAUGUGCAAGAUGACUUCUCAAGAGUCAUGCAGCCAGUUAAGGCGGACCCCAGCAGUGGGAGGCACAGACACAACCAACCCAUAUCCACGCCCCCACGUUUCAGUCCUCUACGGUUUUUUUGUUUUUCUUUUGACACAAACUUCUCAACCAUGUGCCCACAAGGAAACCUGUAGCUCGGAAUGGGCUCAGGGGUGCCUCAGACACUCCCAGGAAAGGAGGGGGGCCCUCGCCGUUGCGGAGGAAUUAGGAGGCGCCACCACUCCGACCCCGGGAGAACACCACCAGACUGAAGAGUGCAGGUGGGUCGGACAGGCCCAGACUCGGGCAGGCGCCCACCCCGCCGCGGCCCAUCCCUACCGUCCCCGCUCCGCACACCGGGUUCCAUGCCGCGCCCCAGUCCAGCACCCGGCCCCCCGUCCACCGCCGGGAACCUAGCGAACACGCGGGGAGCUGCGGCGGAGACGGUUGGCAGGGUGGCCGCCUCCGUACCUGUCCUGUCAGGGGCUCCGCGCCCGGCUCCGGCCCCACCACCGGCGACCGACGCCCAAGUCCUUGCCGGGCGCGCCCCGCCCGCCGCGCCCGCGUGGGCUGCCCGACGCGCCGCCCGACCCCUCGAGGCCCGCCCCACACCCUCUCGCCCCAGAGGCCCAGAGUCGCUCGGGGUUCAGGGAACACGCUACUGAUCCCCGAAAACCAGCCAGGGUUAAAAACUGCGCGCUGAGCGCAGCCGAGGAGACCUCGGUCAGGCACAAAGCUGGACACCUGGAGCGAAAUAUGCGCGUGCGCACUGUGUCUGGGAAGCCAACGAGGACCACAGGAGAGAGGAGCCUCUAAGCCUGCGCCCUCUGCCGGCCGAGGGGAGACAGCGCACCGGGACUGGACGACUCCUUGCCCUAGGCAAAUGGCUCUCCAGGGGUCGUUCGCUAAGCUUUUGAGUGCUAAACUGCUAAUUAAAACAUUAGUGGCAAGCCAUAUCU